UACGGGGGGGGCAAGCGUUGUUCGGAAUUACUGGGCGUAAAGGGCUCGUAGGCGGCCAACUAAGUCGGACGUGAAAUCCCUCGGCUUAACCGGGGAACUGCGUCCGAUACUGGAUGGCUUGAGUUCGGGAGAGGGAUGCGGAAUUCCAGGUGUAGCGGUGAAAUGCGUAGAUAUCUGGAGGAACACCGACGGCGUAGGCAGCGCCCUGGACGACACCUGACGCUGAGGCACGAAAGCUGGGGGAGCGAACAGG
rnacentral:rRNA from 1 species